rnacentral:rRNA from 1 species
UACGAAGGGUGCAAGCGUUAGUCGGAAUUACUGGGCGUAAAGCGCACGUAGGCGGCGCAGCAAGUCAGGGGUGAAAUCCCGGGGCUCAACCCCGGAACUGCCCUUGAAACUGCAGUGCUAGAAUCUUGGAGAGGUCAGUGGAAUUCCGAGUGUAGAGGUGAAAUUCGUAGAUAUUCGGAAGAACACCAGUGGCGAAGGCGACUGACUGGACAAGUAUUGACGCUGAGGUGCGAAAGCGUGGGGAGCAAACAGG